UCAGGAUGAACGCUAGCGGCAGGCUUAACACGAUGCAAGUCGAGGGGCGAGCGGGUGCAGCAAUGCACUGCCGGCGACCGGCGCACGGGUGCGUAACGCGUAUGCAACCUGCCCGCAACAGGGGUAUAACGGAGUGAAAAUUCCACUAAUCCCCCGUAUUGACACCGCGCCGCAUGACGUGGUGUCGAAAGGAGUAAUCCGGUUGCGGAUGGGCAUGCGUGACAUUAGGUAGUUGGUGAGGCAACGGCUCACCAAGCCGACGAUGUCUAGGGAGCUGAGAGGCUUAUCCCCCACACUGGUACUGAGACACGGACCAGACUCCUACGGGAGGCAGCAGUGAGGAAUAUUGGUCAAUGGGAGGAAUCCUGAACCAGCCAUGCCGCGUGCGGGAAGAAGGCCCUACGGGUUGUAAACCGCUUUUGCUCGGGAGUAAUAAGGGGGUGCGCCCCGAUGAGAGUACCGGGCGAAUAAGCAUCGGCUAACUCCGUGCC
rnacentral:rRNA from 1 species